rnacentral:lncRNA from 1 species
CGCGGCCUGGUUGGGCUGCCGCGUCCAGAACGCGGCGUUUUUGGUGACGUCGCGCCCGGGAGGGAGUAGUUUGCUCCGGGGCGGCUCGAGCAGCCCGGUUUCACGUGGGCUGUGAACAGAAGCCUGACGUCCAGGCCGCGGCGCCAGACCAAGUCCUUUGGCCUUGCGAGCAGGCUUCGUGAUGGCGGGAGCAAAGCCGUGACUGACUGCGGCCCAUUGAGGCUUACCCCUUAUGGUCUCAGUGGGCCUGGGUCUCCUGACCUAAUGAAAGUGGGAGAAGUAAAAACGAUUGAAAAGAGAGGAAUACGCUGGAAGUUUAAGGAAGCUGAUAGGCAAAAGCAAACAGUAGGAAUGUCUCCUCCCACUGUACCCUCCUGGUUGAGGCGGAAUGGAUUAGCUCAUCAAGCCCUGGGACUGCUCCUAGUGCUGAAGAAGAUGAGAGAGCUUUGAGAAGCCCUGAAUGAACACAGUAUAGAGAGAGAUGCUGUCGGAUGCGGCGGAGGGAGCACGGUGGGGUCAGAGGCACGAGGCCAACCAACUGGAGCAGGAGGUGGUCCCAAGUGGGCUCUGCCAAACACAGCACUCCACAGAGCUCAGCUGGGAAACUAGUAAUGUGAGAAGAAGGUGGGAUUUUAAUUCAUUUAGAUCUAUGUUAUAAUCCUGAAUCCACCACUUAAAUAAUUUCAUAAA